CACGUAGGAGGCGAGCGUUGUCCGGAAUCAUUGGGCGUAAAGAGCGCGCAGGCGGCUUGGCAAGUCGGGUGUGAAAUCCCGGGGCUCAACCCCGUGACUGCAUCCGAUACUGUCAGGCUAGAGGUAGGUAGGGGUGAUCGGAAUUCCUGGUGUAGCGGUGAAAUGCGCAGAUAUCAGGAGGAACACCGGUGGCGAAGGCGGAUCUCUGGGCCUUACCUGACGCUCAGGCGCGAAAGUGUGGGGAGCGAACAGG
rnacentral:rRNA from 1 species